UUUUUUUGAAGUGGCCAGAAGGGAGAUUAGGUGGCUGCUGCCUUUGACUUUUUAUGUGAGCUUAAACUAUUUUCUUUUUGUGGGCUUAAUUAGAUGCUUAUUUGCCCAAGGCCUGUGCGCCAGAUUAGAUUAUGUUUUGUUAUUUAUUUCCUUAUCUUAUAUUAGGAAUAGAUAUAUACUUGUUAAUAGACAACAUUCACGCCACUUUUGAAGAAUAGAGGCUGGACGCAAUUCAAGUUUUACUUUC
rnacentral:lncRNA from 1 species